rnacentral:pre_miRNA from 1 species
AUAAUACUCCCUCCGUUCCGAAUUACUUGUCUUGGAUUUGUCUAGAUACGGAUGUAUCUAGACUCAUUUUAGUGCUAGAUACCUCCGUAUCUAGACAAAUCCAAGACAAGUAAUUCAGAACGGAGGGAGUACAAG